rnacentral:rRNA from 1 species
GACGAACGCUGGCGGCGUGCUUAACACAUGCAAGUCGAACGGACAGGCCCUGCUUGCAGGGUACUCGAGUGGCGAACGGGUGAGUAACACGUGGGUGAUCUGCCCUGCACUUCGGGAUAAGCCUGGGAAACUGGGUCUAAUACCGGAUAGGAGCCAUUUUUAGUGUGAUGGUUGGAAAGUUUUUUCGGUGUAGGAUGAGCUCGCGGCCUAUCAGCUUGUUGGUGGGGUAAUGGCCUACCAAGGCGGCGACGGGUAGCCGGCCUGAGAGGGUGGACGGCCACAUUGGGACUGAGAUACGGCCCAGACUCCUACGGGAGGCAGCAGUGGGGAAUAUUGCACAAUGGGCGCAAGCCUGAUGCAGCGACGCCGCGUGGGGGAUGACGGCCUUCGGGUUGUAAACUCCUUUCGCUAGGGACGAAGCUUUUUGUGACGGUACCUAGAUAAGAAGCACCGGCUAACUACGUG